rnacentral:sRNA from 1 species
UGUGUGUGGCUCUCCUCUGGAGAAAUGUUCAAGGGCCCCUUUGUUUAAUUGGCCCUUUCCUCUUCACGGUGGAGUUCUGGGCAUAUUCUGGGCCACCAGCCCCUCGGGCUCCAAGAUGCAGCUACUGGAGACGGAGUUCUCGCACACUGUGGGCGAGCUCAUCGAGGUGCACCUGCGGCGCCAGGACAGCAUCCCCGCCUUCCUCAGCUCGCUCACCCUCGAGCUCUUCAGCCGCCAGACCGUGGCCUAGCCUGCAGACUCAGGGGCAUAGCUGGAGCCACUCUGCUUGGCCUGACCUGCAGGUCCCCUGCCCCGCCAGCCACAGGCUGGGUGCACGUCCUACCUCUCCAUCCCCACAGGGCAGCAGGAUGACUGACAGACACGCUGGGACCUACGUCGGGCUUCCUGCUGGGGCGGCCAGCACCCUCCCCACGUGCAGACCCCAUGCGUCCCGGAGCCUGGUGUGUGGGCGUCGGCCACCAGUCCGGGUUCCUCACCUUGUGAAAUAAAGUCUUCUCCCCUAGA